UGGUCAUUUAGAGGAAGUAAAAGUCGUAACAAGGUUUCCGUAGGUGAACCUGCGGAAGGAUCAUUAUUGAAAUAAACCUGAUGGGUUGUUGCUGGUUCUCUAGGGAGCAUGUGCACGCCUUGUCAUCUUUACAUCUCCACCUGUGCACCUUUUGUAGACCUUUCAGGUCUAUGUUGCUUCAUUUACCCCAUGUAUGUUAAUAGAACGUUGUGCCUAUAUAAUAUAUACAACUUUCAGCAACGGAUCUCUUGGCUCUCGCAUCGAUGAAGAACGCAGCGAAAUGCGAUAAGUAAUGUGAAUUGCAGAAUUCAGUGAAUCAUCGAAUCUUUGAACGCACCUUGCGCUCCUUGGUAUUCCGAGGAGCAUGCCUGUUUGAGAGUCAUUAAUAUAUAUAUCAACCUUCUCUUGUUGAGUGGGUUUGAUGUGGGGGGGUUUGCUGGCCUCUUAAAGGGUUCAGCUCCUCUGAAAUGCAUUAGCAGAACAACCCUGUUCAUUGGUGUGAUAACUAUCUACGCUAUUGAAUGUGAGGGGCAGUUCAGCUUUCUAACAGUCCUUUGGACAAAUCAUCAUUAAUGUUGACCUCAAAUCAGGUAGGACUACCCGCUGAACUUAAGCAUAUCAAUAAGCGGAGGA
rnacentral:rRNA from 1 species